rnacentral:rRNA from 1 species
AGAGUUGUAUCCUGGCUCAGGAUGAACGCUAGCGGCAGGCCUAAUACAUGCAAGUCGAACGGUGAUAGCAAUAUCAUAGUGGCGCACGGGUGCGUAACACGUAUGCAACCUACCUAUUAUUGGGGGAUAGCCUUUGGAAACGGAGAUUAAUACCGCAUAAUACGAUUGACUGGCAUCGGUUGAUUGUUAAAGCUUCGGCGAUAAUAGAUGGGCAUGCGUCCAAUUAGUUAGUUGGUUAGGUAACGGCUGACCAAGACGAUGAUUGGUAGGGGAUCUGAGAGGAUAAUCCCCCACACUGGCACUGAGAUACGGGCCAGACUCCUACGGGAGGCAGCAGUAGGGAAUAUUGGGCAAUGGGCGGAAGCCUGACCCAGCCAUGCCGCGUGCAGGAAGAAGGCGUUAUGCGUUGUAAACUGCUUUUUUAUAGGAAGAAGGAUCCCUUGCGAGGGAAGGUGACGGUACUAUAAGAAUAAGCACCGGCUAACUCCGUGCCAGCAGCCGCGGUAAUACGGAGGGUGCAAGCGUUGUCCGGAUUUAUUGGGUUUAAAGGGUGCGUAGGCGGUUUAUUAAGUCAGUGGUGAAAGACGGUCGCUCAACGAUUGCAGUGCCAUUGAUACUGGUAGACUUGAGUGAGAUUGAGGUAGCUGGAAUGGAUAGUGUAGCGGUGAAAUGCAUAGAUAUUAUCCAGAACACCGAUUGCG